ensembl:lincRNA
GCCAGCCGCCUCCCUGGGAUGGUCUGGGGGGCCAGUGGGUGGGUGUCGCCCUACUCUGGGGCUGAGGCCCCAGGGAUGGCGGCGGGCCCCUCCUCUCACCUGUCUGGCAGCCUCCUCCCCCUGACACAGGCCAGCUUCUGAGCCCUCCAGGAGCCCGAGGGGUGAGCGCUUGCCGCAGCACCGGAACUGCAGGGGCGGAAGAGGGAGGCGGUUUGCCCUGAGAACCCCAGGGGCAGAGGGGAAACUGAGGCACGCCGUCCCCCCCCCCGCCCUGCCCCUGGCCAGGACGGGAGCUCAGGGCCGGGCGGCUGGCUCUGUAGGGGGCACCCAGCUCCCAGCAGCAUGGCCUCCAGCUGGAAGUUCACGUGUGGAUGCGGGCUCUCGCACUCUGCUCCAGCCCUGCGGACUCAGAAGCCGGGCCUCCCAGGGCGGAGGAAGACAGGCGCGCUCUGCCCUGCGCCUUGCCCCGCUGUGGCAUCCGUGACCCGGGCCCUCAGCUCUGCACCCGGCCCCUCAGCUCUGCACCCGGCCAGCUGGCUCUGGGGGGCUGCUCCCUUGUGGCCCUUUUCUGGAUGGCAGGCCGCCCCCGCAGGCUCACCGUGUCCUGGAUGGCCACCAGCUCCUGCCGCCCGCUUCCGGACACGCUCCUCAGCGCCCGCUCAUAGGCCCGGUCGUAGGCGUCGAGCACUGCGUCCUCCACCUGUGCAGAGGGCACCGGAAGGCCGUGCUGGUGAAGCUCACAUUCCUGACGGACCCCCCGACGACCCUCAGGAAGCUGUCUUGUCAAGGGAGCUGGCUGACCGGGCUCCCUGUGGCCACGGCUGCGGCGCAUUGAGCGACCGGCUAAGUAACAGACUGAUGAGAACCCGCGGUGCUGAACGACAUCCGUGAUCCGUGCUGGUCCAGAGGUGAUGAGAACCCGCGGUGCUGAACAGACAUCCGUGAUCCGUGCUGGUCCAGACGUGAUGAUCCGUGAUCCGUGCUGGUCCAGAGAUGAUGAGAACCUGCGAUGCUGAACAGACAUCCGUGAUCCGUGCUGGUCCAGAGGAAGGAUGCCACGCCGGUGGGAGAGGAGGGAGACGGCCUGUGCAGAAGAAUCCAAAGGAGCGUGCGUGGAGCCUCUCCCGUCGGGGGGAAGCACCUCCUUCCGGCCCUGCCUCGGGCUCUGGCCAGCACCCCUCAGCCAGGCGAUCACAGGCAGCACCACCAGGGUGAGCCGUGUCGGGGGCUGUGUCGAUGGGACGCGACAGGUGGGCACUUCACCCCUGCGUCUUCCUGCCCAAACGCACAGCCCUGGUCUGACUGCAGCACAGACAGCUGGCAAACCCCAGCAGAGGGGUGUCCUCCUGUGCCCCUGACCCCCACGCGGCCAAGGUCAUCGAAGCUGUCAUGGCCCAGAGGAGCCCAAGGAGACGGGACAGCCAGUGGGUGUGGGUCCUGGGGUGGGGCACAGUGCGGAGCAGGGCCAGCAGGCAAGGACUCGAGAAUGCUGAGAACCACGUGGGCUCUCGUCAGUAACAGUGGAGCCCUGGGGAGUGACCCGUCGUGACCGACACCCCGCACUCCGCUCAGACACUGGUAUUGGGAGGCGGUAGGCGUAUGGUGGUAUCGGUGAACUUAUCUUUGCAACUCUCCUUUGUAAAACUAUCCUCAAAGUUUAUUUAAAAAACGUGGUGUUAGCUGCCGCCUCCAUCUCAGGGCGCAGAGGUCCCCAGGCUCCUUGGGGUUGGCUCUGCCGGUCCGCUUCCUGGGGCGUUGAACUCUUGGCCCCAGGCCUGACCGAGCCCGACUCCACUAACUGCUCGUCACCAAGAUGUUCACGGACUCGGUGAUGUCACUGUCCCCCUCUGCCCCCAUCUACCCACUGCCCUGUCCCCUGCCCACCUGUCCCCCAUCCACGACUCCCCCCGCCGCCCCGCCCCCCCUUAUCUACCUGCCCACCUGUCCCCCUGCUGACCUGUCUGCCUGCUCACCUGCCCACCUCUCCUCCCUCCUCGCCCCUUCGCUCCCUUCUUCGCUCUCACACCCUUUCACGCAGUUGUGGCUUCAGCCACUUGGCCCCUUGCUCCUGUCUGCUGUCUGCCACCUGCCUCCGUUUACCUGGGCAAUGGCCUCUGGGAAUCCGCGGGGUGUUAGCCAUGAAGCAGGCCGCUCCUACCACGAGGCAACUUCCCUGGGCCAGGAGGUGGCAGCCUCUGCCUGGCUUCCUAACAGCUGCCCCAAGGGAGACAUCCUUCCUCCUUCUCCAUCGGAGGCGGUGUUCGGCCUCAUGGGCUGGUGACACGGCCCCCUACCCAGCAAGGAGCCCCCGGGCCAGCCGUGAGCGCAGUGCCUCCCCUCAGCAUGGCAUGUGGGCUCUGCGUCCUCCUAGGGCGGGUCUGGGGCUGAGAAGGGCCCCAAGUGCAGUCUCUGGCUUCCUCUCUGCUCUUUGGCCUGAUUCUGACGUUGUCACAGCCGCCCAGACGUGUCCGCCCUGGGCAGCAUCUCCUGGGGAGGGCUUUCUUCCCGGACAUCUCACAUCUGGUCAACUGUGUGAGCUCCGGGGCUCCUGACCAGCUUUCCCUCCACAGGGUGUCAUGUUGGCCCAUUACCUCGAUGACAUCCUGCUGGUCGGGUCCCGCGAGCAGGAAGCGGUGGUCAUCCAGACACUGUGUUACCGCGGGCCACGCUGGAGGGUGGGAAAGAAAUCCGGCAGAACUGGCUGCCUGCUACCUGGUGACCUCAAGGGGUCCGGGGCGUGUCUGGGGCACUUUGAGACCCACAUCUGGCCCUUCCUGCUGCUUAAGAAGAUGCCUGAUGCCCAGGGGGCCUCUAGUUUUGUGUGUAUGUCUUUUAACAUUUACAUCACUUCAUGGCAGAUCAGUUCAGUUCAGUUCAGUCGCUCAGUCAUGUUCGACUUUGCAACCCCAUGAAUCGCUGCACACCAGGCCUCCGUGUCCAUCACCAGCUCCUGGAGUUUAGCCAAAGUCAUGUCCAUCGAGUCGAUGAUGCCAUCCAGCCAUCUCACCCUCUGUUGUCCCCCUCUCCUCCUGCCCCCAAUGCCUCCCAACAUCGGGGUCAUUUCCAAUGAGUUAACUGUUCGCAUGAGGUGGCCAAAGUAUUGGAGUUUCAGCUUCAGCAUCAGUCCGAUAGAUAGGGAAAAAUGGAAACAGUGGCAGAUCUUAUUUUCUUGGGCUCCAAAAUAACUGCAGAUGGUGAUUCCAGCCAUGAAAUUCAAAGACGCUUGCUCCUUGGAAGAAAAGCUGUGACAAACCUAGACAGCAUAUUUCAAAGCAGAGAUACCACUUUGCCAACAAAGUUCUGUAUAGUGAGCGCUAUGGUUUUUCCAGUAGUCGCAGAGAGUCAUGGACCACAGUAAAACUUGAGUUGCUUACAGAGAGAACCAAGAGAGCUGCAUUGGUCCAAAGAUAGGAACAUUCUGCUCAACAUGAGGACAUUGAAGGAAUUUAUCUUACAUACUAAGUCUCUUCGAUUGGAGAGGAACAACUCA